rnacentral:lncRNA from 1 species
GCAGUUGACGUGGAGCAGGCGGCAUAAAUCAAGUCCGCGGGGCAUGGAGGCUGCUGUCGCUGCAGCAGCUCAGCUUGCCCGGGGCGGGAACUCCCCCUUUCUCCUUUCGCCUCCCCAGCACCCACACCCUGUCUCCCCCUUAAUUCUUCCCUGGAUAAUAGCACCCUAACGACAACAGUCAUAAUAAUAGGGUUAGAACGACAGGGGAGGAAAACUCAACAGCCUAAAUAUCUCUGAAAACUGCAUCGCAAAAUGGAAGAAAGAGGGGGUCCCACUACUGUUUCAAAAGAGUAAGUUAUUAUUCGGAGCCAUGGAAGUCAAAUGCUGAGGAUGGUGGCAUCAUAGGAUGAAUGGAGCUGGGUUCUUGAAACACUGCCUGGAGGAAAGACAGCAAAAAUGCCUCAUGAAUCCAACUGGACUGUUAGCUCAUCUUUACCCUUCAAAUCUCAACUCAAAUGUCCUUCCUCUGAGAGGCCUUCUCUGCCUGCCCUCCCAUGUAAAGAAACCAGCUCCAUUUCUGGGAUGCUCACCCUUGGAGACCAGCAACAAUGUGUGCAGAAACCCAGGCCAUGUGGAGAGGCCCCACAUACGUGUCCAACUGAGGUCCCAGCUGACAGCUGGCAUUGACAUGUGAGUGAGACUCUGAACGUUCCAGCUGAUGACAAGUACAGUUUGAGCGAGCUAUCCCUGUUGGGCCUGUCAAAACUGCAGAUUUCAUGAAGAAAAUAAGUGUUGUUGACUUAAGCCAGUAAGUUUUGACAUACUAUGUUACACAGCCAUAGUAGCUGGAAGAGUGUGAAACAAAUACUAUUCUCUUGUGUCUCAUUUCUCUAUAAAGUAUAUCUUCCCCCUUCCUUGCAUAGGGAUUCUUUCUCCUUUUCUCUCAGACAGUUCUGCUAUUAUCCCUGCUAGUGAUGCUAUUACUACUUCAAAUACUAUUGUUUUUAUAUCUGUUGCUACUACUGAAAAUAAGAUAAUUUUAUAACUAAUGUUGAGUAUGCAUCUACUAUAUAGAUUUACAUCCUUAACAUGUAUUAAAUCACGUAAUUCUUACAUCAAAAGCAUGGAAUUGUAUCACCCCAAGAUUCAUAUGUUGAAGUCCUCACCUUUAGUAUUCACAAUGUGACCUGUUUGGAGAUAUGGUCUUUAAAGAUGUGAAAUGAAGCCAUUAAAGUAGUCCUUAAUCCAA